GUGAGAUCAUGGCCUGAGCCAAAGUUGGACAUUUAACCAACUGAGCCACCCAGGAGCCCCCUGGUACCCCUUUUAUGCCCAGUAACAGCAAAUAUUUUCAAAGAAUCAGAAAGUCAACCAGAAGGAAGCUUGACAUGAAGUUACCAUUGCCCUUGUUCCAUGCUCUGUCGAAGCUUCUUAUUUGUAUUUUUCUCUUAAUUCCCCAAGUCAGCCGCUAAGGUUGCAAACUGGAGACCAAAGGUAAGUAGCACAAAGCCUUGUCCAGAGUCAAUGAAUGGAUAGGAUACCCGGUCCAGGGUUGCAUGGCUAGUAAAAGGCCAGGGCUCGGACUUGAACUUGGGAACUUCUGAUCCCCAGUUCAGCCCAUUUAUCUCCACUUUUGGCAUACAGGGGAGGAAGAUGACCAACAGAUAAAGAGAAUGAUCUAGUGGCAGGGUAGGGGUUGGAUCCUGAAUCUCUCGCUGGCCUGACCAAUCUGCUGCUGCGUCCUAGGGUGUCCCCAAGCAGGGCUGGCUGGGAGGCUCCGGGUUUAGCUGUCUUGAAGCUCCUUCCCAGCAGCCUGAACCAGGCCUGUGGAGGCACAGCAGGAGGGAAGGGGGGGGGGAGGGAACACAAAUGACCCUAAUCAGUGUGUUUAUUGGAUCAUAACUGUAUUAGCCUCACAACUCAGCGAAUCUCACAGAAAUCACUUUCCUCUCCAUGAGGAUUUAGCCACAGUUCCAUUAAAAGCUGCUGGCCCACGUGUACCUGUGAGGAAGCUCUUGUACAGCAGAAGCAGCGGGGGAGGAAGGAGAGGCAAUAUUUCUACUUCCUCAUUACGCUGACAGGGAAAAUGGCCAUUUCACAUUCACUGUAUAAGAAAAGCCCCCAAAGGAAAGGGAAUCCAAGGUUCACAUUGUCUUUUUGGCAACGUUCAGCUCUAAGAAGAUGUUCUCUUUGUGCCUCCCUUUUUGAAAGCAUUUGUGAUGCUGUUUAAGAUAAAACAAGAGUCGGGAAGGAACUUGUGUUUGGGGAACAUACCAGGUGCCAGACGCUUUACACGUAUUAUUCCCUUGAAACUCUCUGAAGGCCUGUGAACGAGGCCUCGUGACGUCCCAUUCACAGGUGCAUCCAUUUCAUGGGUGAAGGCUCCACUCAGAUGGCUGGGCCUUGGCGGGGCUGAGCUUCAAGCUGGGGGUCUGUGCUCUCCCUCUGCCAUACCCCAGACUCCCACAGUGACAGCAUUUACCUUUGUUCCCUCCUUGCACUCACAAAAAUAUAGAGACUGGUUUUCACGCGGGCCACUGUGUGACCGUGGCAGCUUCCUUCCCCAAGCCUCCAUCUGUGGAACGAGGGGCCCAGACUAAACCCGCUCUGGUCUAAACUCCGAUGAUUUGAUGAAGGUAUUUUUCUCGCCCAGUAGCUCCCAGCCCGUCCUUAUCUAAUUACAAUCUCAAACCAAACUUGGGGGGAUGGCGGUAUGGGUAUUAUUCCCAUUUUUAAAGCUAGGGCUACUUGAGAAGCAGAAAUGCAGUGAGGGGUUCAAGGUCACAGCAUGAAUGGAGAACCCGGCACUCUGCCUCCAGCCCCCAGGCACGCACGCAGGCUGUCAGCAGCAGCUCUGGGAGCCUGACAUCUGAGCCUCACCCUGGCUCCUGAUAGAAUUAUCAGCGAACUGGGGAACACAUACUUCCCGUAAUCAGGGCAACUUUUCUUAGCCAGGGGUGGAGGAGGCAAGAUGUGAAGUGUGUCUGAUGAGCUGCUCUUCCAGUGCAGGGCCUAGAGUGAAUAAAACCCAGGGAAAUCAUGGCAGACAGCUGGAGAUUCAAGCAGGCGAGCUCCAGGGGCAGGGCCACUGGGACUUCAGCUCCUGCACAAAGCCAGUCUCAUGGCAUUUUGUGCACGUUUCAGUCUUCAGCAGCCAGGCAGGCAAACACGGGCAGCUUGGCAUGAAAAUUAAUUUAGACCUUAAAAGAAGUGUUUCAUCUUCAGUGGCUUUUCAGGCUGCCCCAAUCCAGGUGCAGCAAAGGGAGAUGUGAGGGAGCAGUGGUGACAGAGGACCUGAGGGCUUGGGUGAAACCACAGCCUUGUACCCAAUGGCCUCAGGUAGUGGGGGCAGAGAGUCCUGGGGCCGAGGCAGACCCUCACAGCAGCUCGGACGAGGGAGAAAGGAGAGGGGUUUCUGGGAAUAGAAUCAGCUGAGGCCAGCCAGGUAAAAAUCCAGCUAUUCUGACCCUCACCCAGGCCUGAGCCUGCCAAUCGGGAAUGUGACAAGCGUGUUGGUGGGAGGCUGGGCCUUCAGGGAGGGACAUAGUGUGCUUUUCAGCUUGUGAAGAAAUGUGAGGAUUCACUCUCCAUUUCCCAAGAUGCUCAAACAAGAGGAAAUCGGCUUACAUCAAGUGGAGACAGUUCAAGAGGCCCAGGAGCAGACUGGCUGGCUGGUCAUAAUGUAUUCAAAUGCAAUUAAGUCCAGUGAGAAGAAGGAGGGAGGCUGAGGCCCGGGAAAGGCCACAUUGUGGAGGACCAAGGUCAAGGCCUUCAGGGCACGUCCCCUGCUAGUGGGGAGAGGAGAAAAAAAAUCUACCUAAGAGAACAGUUUUGGAGGUUCAGUGGAAGGACAGGUUGGAAGGACCUUGGCUUUUAUUGUGGAAGGCCCAGAGACGGCACAUUUGUGUUUCUCAACCAACAGAAAGUCAAAGGGACCCAUGUCUUACCUGAAGGAGCCGAGGUGAGAGCAGAUCCCUGAGACUCCUUCUAACCAGAGCUCCUGUUAAUUUUUUUUUUUAUCUCUAGUUUCUGUUUAUUGGCAGAACAGCCUUGGGCAAAUCUCUUCCCCUCUCAAGGACUCAGUUCCAGAUCUGUAAAGUCUGGGGCUGCCAUGUGUGGUGAUGGAGGGUGUUCACUGCACAAGGACACCCAGCCAAGGGAGUAAGUAGAGGCUCAGACCCGCCCAUGCCCUGCUUAACAAGCCAUGUGCCCUGUCUGGCUCAGGGUUUCAUUUACCCAGAGUAAAGAACACAUUUUUCUAGUCUGUCCCUGUCCCAUGCAGAGUCCUUCUUCUGCUCUUCUGGGUCCCUGUUCUCCGACCAUCGCCAGUCUCCACCAGGGCAAAUCUGAGGGCGGCAUUUACACGAAGUGUACUGAGAGGGUGGACAGCAGCUGCCUCCCCUGUGAGGAACUCUGCCUCCUAAACCCCGUGGUGCUUUUCCUCUCCUUAUCAAUGCUGCGAGUUGCCUCUCGAAAUUGCUCUGCCGUCAUUAACACCGCGGAUUAGGUCAGACGAGCGUGUGUGUGCAGUCUUAGAUGGCAAAGGCAAAGCGCUGAUGCUGAUUAUUCUAGAUCUUCUGGGCAUGGCCCAUUCCGUGCUCACAGUUCUUAAUCAGAGGGACGCGCGUUGGUUACGUGGCCGGGUGGGCCAGGGCCAUGGCUGGUUCUGAUGUGGCUGCCAGGCCCAGACAACACGUCUGCAGCACCUGCCAGCCUGCUGGCAUCACAAGUGACCUGAGUAGAAGAAAUCGCCCAUCGGAUGGCAUGCCUGCUGGCUGCUUUUGAACCAUCAGCAAUUCAUUUGAGCAAGGACUAUGAGCAUUUUGCCCUGGGCCUGAACACCAAGUUUUGUGUUCUGGGGCUCACUCUGUUGGCCAUGUGGCUGAGGGGUAUCUUCCAGACCACUACUCCUGAAGUGCUCCCUUCUGAAAAGCUUCUGGAGGAGGAGGAGGAGGCCAAGACCUGUGGCCUUGCAUCAUGGCCCCCCACCUCCUGGCCUCCUGUUCUACCUCCACCACCUUCACCCUAGGCUCCAGCCACACCGCGGUCUCCCUCCGGCCCUUGAUCGCGCUGGUUCCCUGCCAGGAGUGCCCGCUUAGCCUUGUCCUGCAGGCAGAAGCUCGUCAUCUGUGGCAGCUGCUGUCCCGGCGAUGCCCUGACCUUUACCACUUCAGUAUGUUCCAGCCCCACAUCCGGAUGCCAGCACCUGCAUUUCUUUGCCUGGAGCUUUCUCUGGCCUCUGGAACCUGCAUGUGCCACUCUGUGCUGGGCAGAGGCCAGAAGUGCCAGGGAAUUCCCCCCCCCCCAAACAGGAACCCCCAGCCACUGACAAAAGUUGGUGUAUACACACCCCUGCUCUCUCACGCCUGCGGCGGGCUAAUUCCAAGGCGUGUUCUCUUCAGUGCGAAUGAGCCCUAGCUGCCCGGUGAUAACCGGCUUGAGAAACCACCCAGGAUUGCCCACUUACCUGUCUUACUUCCGCGCUCCCCACAGCGUUUUCCUUCGUCUCCCAAAUAAACUACUCACAUUCAAA